ensembl:rRNA 5S_rRNA 5S ribosomal RNA
GCUUACGGCCAUACCAACCUGGCUAUGCCUUAUCUCGUCUGAUCUCGGAAGCUAAGCAGGUUUGGGCCUGGUUAGUACUUGGAUGGGAGACCGCCUGGGAAUACCAGGUGCUGUAAGCU